UCCAUCUUUACAAUCCAGGUACUAUUCAUCUACAUGGACUACUAAGAUUUUUCGACAAAAUAACCCCCUACAAUCUUAAUUCCAUCGAAAACAGAUGGAAGAGCGAACGUGCGGAUCUACAUAGGAAGAUUGAGAAAGCAGUGACUCACAAGUGCGUAUACAAUGCAGACGAAGAAAUGCACGAUCCAGAAUCAUCAAGAGCAUGCCAAAUUUUGCGCACAAGUCCGAACUUGAACUCCGAGUGCAUUAUAUUAUAUAUGCCAAAAGGAAUAUUUUGUGCAAGUAAUUUUUGCCUCGCUAGCUGUAGCCAUAUCUUUCCAUAUUGUCACGUGCAUAUAUGGAAGAGUGGGUCGCCCAGAACCCUGGUUUAUACGGCGCGUGCACGGGAGAGAGGGGGUCGCCAAGGACGCUAUACGUACUUGUGUAGAAUGCUUAUUUAGAUUGAUGAUCGAUCGACUGUUUAGUUGUUUUCUAUAGCG